rnacentral:misc_RNA from 1 species
GAAGUAACUCCAUAACUAAUCAAGUAGAAGUAAGACUAGAGGACAAAUUUAACUGUUUACAAAUUUAACAUAAACAGCAAAAUUUUAUUCACAAAGACAGACAGUCUUGAUCUCUUUGUAAAGCACAUACAUUAACUAGUAGAAAAAACAUACAAGCAUGUUUAAGACAAGAGGUACAAAACUACAGAUGGAGAGAUAGAUCUAAAUCUACUUGAACUUCCUGUUCAGCAUCAGAGGAAGUUCCCAAGCCAGAAAAGGAGAGUUCCAGAUCCCUGAAGAAAAGAAGCUCUUUCUUCCAAGGCUUCUUUGUCUGCACAGGAGGUGGGGAGCUAGUCUUUAGCCUUUUUGACGUAUGUGUCAUGGGAGCAUCCCCAGGGACAUCACUCAUAUAAGGCCUCUUAUUCCCUUCACAA